GUCGAGCAUGACCCAGACAACGCCAACAUGUAAUGUGGCCACAGGUCUGACUGUUAGCAGUCUUCAUGCUUCCACUCCUGUUACUCCUGUAAAACGAACACCCGGAUGGACUGUUGGUUUGCCAAGUAACACUGGUGGUUCCUCCUCUUCUUUCCUAACACCAGUGAAACCAACAUCAGGUGACAUCAUUAUUAAAUGUUUCAAUAAUUCACACUGACUCAUU
rnacentral:lncRNA from 1 species